rnacentral:rRNA from 1 species
UGGGGAAUAGUGCACAAUGGGCGAAAGCCUGAUGCAGCGACGCCGCGUGAGGGAUGACGGCCUUCGGGUUGUAAACCUCUUUCAGUAGGGACGAAGCGCAAGUGACGGUACCUGCAGAAGAAGCACCGGCUAACUACGUGCCAGCAGCCGCGGUAAUACGUAGGGUGCGAGCGUUGUCCGGAAUUACUGGGCGUAAAGAGCUCGUAGGCGGUUUGUCACGUCGUCUGUGAAAUCCUAGGGCUUAACCCUGGGCGUGCAGGCGAUACGGGCUGACUUGAGUACUACAGGGGAGACUGUAAUUUCUGGUGUAGCGGUGGAAUGCACAGAUAUCAGGAAGAGCACCGAUGGCGAAGGCAGGUCUCUGGGUAGUAACUGACGCUGAGGAGCGAAAGCAUGGGUAGCGAACAGG